rnacentral:lncRNA from 1 species
GCCACUGAUAAGAAGUUCCAAAACCCAGAGUGCGUCAAUCAGAAAUUUCUGAAGUGCCACCGAUAAGAAGUUCCAAAACCCGGAGUGUGUGAAUCAGAAUCAAAUUCCUUCUUCAGCA